GUAACAAGGUUUCCGUAGGUGAACCUGCGGAAGGAUCAUUAAAGCGUUGCCGACGUCGGCCCCGGCCGUUCGGCUUGAAAUAUAGCCUGGACGGUGCUGGAGGUCGCCGGCAGUUGCCCAUUCUUGCCUACUGACCCAGUUGCCUCGGCGAGCCGUGCCACUCGUGGCAGACCGGAAGCCGUUUGAACCCCUAGGGCUCAGGCGGCCCUGGCCAGUGCCCGCCGACGGACAGACUUAAAAUCUUUAUAUAUUGGCCGUCUGAGCGUAUAAAGCAAAUCAAUUAAAACUUUCAACAACGGAUCUCUUGGUUCCGGCAUCGAUGAAGAACGCAGCGAAAUGCGAUAAGUAAUGUGAAUUGCAGAAUUCCGUGAAUCAUCGAAUCUUUGAACGCACAUUGCGCCCCCUGGUAUUCCGGGGGGCAUGCCUGUUCGAGCGUCAUUGCAACCCUCAAGCUCGGCUUGUGUGAUGGGCGACCGUCCUUCCCCUAGGGGCGGGACGCGUCCGAAAAGCAGUGGCUAGGCCGCGAUUCCGGCGCCUGAGCGAAUGGGACUUCCACCGCUUCUAGGACCGGCCGGCACUUGGCCUUUAAACACGGUCUUAACUGACCAUCUAGGUUGACCUCGGAUCAGGUAGGGAUACCCGCUGAACUUAAGCAUAUC
rnacentral:misc_RNA from 1 species